GUGCCAGCAGCCGCGGUAAUACGUAGGGGGCAAGCGUUGUCCGGAUUUAUUGGGCGUAAAGAGCGUGUAGGCGGUUAUACAGGUCCGUUGUGAAAACUCGAGGCUCAACCUCGAGACGUCGAUGGAAACCGUAUGGCUAGAGUCCGGAAGAGGAGAGCGGAAUUCCUGGUGUAGCGGUGAAAUGCGCAGAUAUCAGGAAGAACACCCGUGGCGAAGGCGGCUCUCUGGGACGGUACUGACGCUGAGACGCGAAAGCGUGGGGAGCGAACAGGAUUAGAAACCCUGGUAGUCC
rnacentral:rRNA from 1 species